AUUAGCAGAACGGAGUCGCCGGAGCCAAACGCAGACAAGACGCCCACGGAAGAGGAUAGGAAGGGCAGCGAGGCGGUGCGCGCUCCACAGACUGGCGGGAGGGAGCCGGGGCACAGGGGCAGCUCGCGGCCAAGCAGAGCCCUCGAGUCUGGCUUGCAAAAGCGGAGGGGCCUGAUGGACUGUCUAUUAUCACAUCUGACUCU